GUGCUCGCUUCAGCAGUACAUAUACUAAAAUUGGAAUGAUAUAGAGAAGAUUAAUGAACAUGGCCCCUGCACAAGGAUGGCAUGCAAAUUCGUGAAUAUUCCAUAUUUUU